CAACUUUGGAGCACGGCUUUCUGGCAACCCUUAAAUACAACAGUUGUGCAACGCAACUGGCAAUUCUGGAGUCACAGCUAAGAUUUCCCAACUUAUAUUUUGUCCACGGUAUCCACCGCAAAUGGCAGGAUCCCAUUUGUCAACUCUCAAGCUUUUAUAGAAUGCUGUGAAUGUUUGCCAAAGUUGUUUUUUAAAAGACAGGGUUGCGGCUUCUUCCUAGGAACAGAGACGUCUGCAUUUGCUCUCAAUGCCUAACAUCACUGAAGCUGGAAAAGCCACCGAUUCUGGACGCGAUGAGUACAGAUCUGAGAACAAGUCCCCAGAAGAGAAUCUACAAGGUGCUUUACCAUCUUUCUACGCAAAUGCCUCAGGAACACCUGUGGGCCCCAGAGGAGAUGGGCAUUAUCCUUCGAGUUGUCCAGUGACUCAUACUCGAGAGAAAGUUUAUGCCAUCUGCUCAGACUAUGCCUUCCUCAACCAGGCAACCUCAGUCUACAAAACUCCUAGCCCAGCCCGCUCUGCUUGCCUCCCCGAUAACACCUCGCUUUCUGCUGGAAAUAGUACAAGAUAUAUUGGAAUCCCAACUAGUACAUCAGAAAUAAUCUAUAAUGAAGACAAUAACUUGGAAAACUUACCCACCAGUAUGGGCAAGCUGCCUCUGGCAUGGGAAAUCGACAAAUCUGAAUUUGAUGGGGUGACUACAAAUUUGAAACAUAAAUCAGCAAUGCAAAGAAACAAAUUUCCAAGAAGAAAACAUCAGAUAAAAAAGGGCGGUAUCAGAGGGAGUGUCUCCACUAUUCUCCUCUUGAUGAUG
rnacentral:lncRNA from 1 species